UGAGGAAUAUUGCACAAUGGGGGAAACCCUGAUGCAGCAACGCCGCGUGGAGGAUGACAGCCCUUGGGUUGUAAACUCCUUUUCUGUGGGACGAGAGAGGACGGUACCACAGGAAUAAGUCACGGCUAACUACGUGCCAGCAGCCGCGGUAAUACGUAGGUGGCGAGCGUUAUCCGGAAUUACUGGGCGUAAAGCGUACGCAGGCGGCUUGUUAAGUCUGACGUGAAAUCUCCCGGCUUAACUGGGAGAGGUCGUUGGGAACUGGCAAGCUUGAGGCAAUGAGAGGGGCAUGGAAUUCCCGGUGUAGUGGUGGAAUGCGUAGAUAUCGGGAGGAACACCAGAGGCGAAAGCGGUGCCCUGGCAUUGGCCUGACGCUCAUGUACGAAAGCGUGGGGAGCGAACG
rnacentral:rRNA from 1 species